rnacentral:rRNA from 1 species
UUGAACGCUGGCGGAAUGCUUUACACAUGCAAGUCGAGCGGCAGCGCGGGGGCAACCCUGGCGGCGAGCGGCGAACGGGUGAGUAAUACAUCGGAACGUACCCAGUGGUGGGGGAUAGCCCGGCGAAAGCCGGAUUAAUACCGCAUACGCCCUGAGGGGGAAAGUGGGGGACCGGAAACGGCCUCACGCCGUUGGAGCGGCCGAUGUCGGAUUAGCUAGUUGGUGGGGUAAAGGCCCACCAAGGCGACGAUCCGUAGCGGGUCUGAGAGGACGGCCCGCCACACUGGAACUGAGACACGGUCCAGACUCCUACGGGAGGCAGCAGUGGGGAAUUUUGGACAAUGGGGGCAACCCUGAUCCAGCCAUUCCGCGUGAGUGAAGAAGGCCUUCGGGUUGUAAAGCUCUUUCGGCAGGGAAGAAACGGCGGGGGUUAAUACCCCUCGUUAAUGACGGUACCUGAAGAAGAAGCACCGGCUAACUACGUGCCAGCAGCCGCGGUAAUACGUAGGGUGCGAGCGUUAAUCGGAAUUACUGGGCGUAAAGGGCGCAGGAGGUGGGCCUAAGGCAGACGUGAAAUCCCUCGGCUUAACCUGGGAACUGCGUCUGAUACUGAUGCCGCUUGAGUUGGGCAGAGGGGCGUGGAAUUCCAGGUGUAGCAGGUGAAAUGCGUAGAGAUGCUGGAGGAACACCGAUGGCGAAGGCAGCCCCUGGGUCGACACUGACGCUGAUGACGAAAGCCAGUGGGAGCAAACAGGGAUUAGAUACCCCUGGUAGUCCACGCCCUAAACGAUGCAAUGCUUGGUGUGGCGGUAGGCGACUUCCUUCGUACCGUAGCUAACGCAGUGAAGCUUGCCGCCUGGGGAGUACGGUCGCAAGCUUAAACUCAAAGGAAUUGACGGGGCCCGCACAAGCGGUGGAUGCAUGUGGAUUCAAUUCGACUGCAACGCGAAAACCUUACCAGGCUUGAACAGCGAGUGACCAGCUCCGAAAGGAGCCUUCCGCAAGGACACUCGUAGAGGUGCUGCAUGGCUGUCGUCAGCUCGUGUCGUGAGAUGUUGGGUUAAGUCCCGCAACGAGCGCAACCCUUGUUUGCUGUUGCCAUCACGUUAUGGUGGGCACUCUGCAAAGACUGCCGGUGAUAAACCGGAGGAAGGUGGGGAUGACGUCAAGUCAGCAUGGCCUUUAUGUCUAGGGCUACACACGUGCUACAAUGGCCGGUACAAACCGUCGCGAUACCGUAAGGUGGAGCUAAUCGGAGAAAGCCGGUCUCAGUUCGGAUCGUAGGCUGCAACUCGCCUGCGUGAAGUUGGAAUCGCUAGUAAUCGCGGAUCAGCACGCCGCGGUGAAUACGUUCCCGGGCCUUGUACACACCGCCCGUCACAUCACGAAAGCCGGUUGUACUAGAAGUCGCCACACUAACCCGCAAGGGAGGGAGGCGCCUAAGGUAUGGUCGGUGAUUGGGGUG